GCCGCAAGUAAAAAAAUAUUUCUCUAAAACGCACAAUAUAUGUACACUAUUUCUUGUUUUCAGCAAAUCGCCUAUCUUAGACCAUCUUUUUCUUUCUACUCUCUUCUAGGUAUUUCCAUUCUCCAUUAUCGUUCUUCCAUAUCCCUGUAAUCUUCAAUCAAAAUCAGAGGGGGUGAGGAACUAUUCGCAAAGGAGCAAUUCUUUAGUCGAGGUGUGUCACAUUAAUUAUCACUUGAUCUAACUUUUCAAGCUUCUUUUCUAAUUGUUCCUGCAAUUUUGGGGCAUACAUAUAUUGGUUAAUUGUUUUUGCAUUCAAUUUUUCUUUUACCCUUUUCAAUAUUUAAAGCUUUUGAUUACGAUUUAUAUAUAGAGUCGUGGAUAAUUUUCAAAGUUUUGAUCUUUGAUUGGAUUUGCGAAUUGCAGUGAUCAAAGAGGUAAAAGGAAGAUAGUUGAUUUUUUCUUCUUUUUUUUAAUCUCGUUCUCAGAUUCUGAUGCUGAAGCAGACUGAUUUAAAUUUUCUAAUAAAUCAAUCCUUUCUUAUUUCUUUUUUUUUUAAGUUUUAUGUGUGAAUAUGUAAAUCAAUCGGCUACAACUGAAAUCAAAUAAGGGGGUAACGGAGAAAAUAAUAUACCUAAAACAUUAAUUUUAUUAUUUUGUUAUCAUAUCAUGUUAAGGCGGUUCUAGAUAUUGCACCGAUAGUUUUUCUUGUUGGGUGGAUACAUGAAUUCAUUUUGUCAUUUUUACUUUAUCAUCUUUGCUCUUGUUGUCAUAAAAUUAUCGAAGAGCUUAAUUUUUUUAUGGAUAAAUUAAGAAUAGUAGAAGGAGACUAUUAGAGAGUUUAAUUUAUUUAGGCUUUCUGUUAAAUUAGCGUGAAUAUAUGUUAUAGAUAUAAUACCAACAUCUCACUCAGAAGGAAGAAAUCAACAAAA